rnacentral:rRNA from 1 species
UACGGGGGGGGCAAGCGUUGUUCGGAAUUACUGGGCGUAAAGGGCGUGUAGGCGGGAAGGAAAGUCAGAUGUGAAAUCCCUGGGCUCAACCCAGGAACUGCAUUUGAAACUCCCUUUCUUGAGUACCGGAGAGGAAGGUGGAAUACCUGGUGUAGAGGUGAAAUUCGUAGAUAUCAGGUGGAACACCAGUGGCGAAGGCGGCCUUCUGGACGGUAACUGACGCUGGAGACGCGAAAGCGUGGGGAGCAAACAGG